AACGUUACNNNNNNNNNNNNNNCCUCGGCGGGAUCUUCUGCCCCGGGUGCGUCGCAGCCCCGGACCAAGGCGCCCGCCGGAGGAAUCAACCAAAACUCUUAUUGUAUACCCCCUCGCGGGUUUUUUUAUAAUCUGAGCCUUCUCGGCGCCUCUCGUAGGCGUUUCGAUAAUGAAUCAAAACUUUCAACAACGGAUCUCUUGGUUCUGGCAUCGAUGAAGAACGCAGCGAAAUGCGAUAAGUAAUGUGAAUCGCAGAAUUCAGUGAAUCAUCGAAUCUUUGAACGCACAUUGCGCCCGCCAGUAUUCUGGCGGGCAUGCCUGUCCGAGCGUCAUUUCAACCCUCGAACCCCUCCGGGGGGUCGGCGUUGGGGAUCGGCCUUCCUUCACGGGGGCCGUCUCCGAAAUACAGUGGCGGUCUCGCCGCAGCCUCUCCUGCGCAGUAGUUUGCACACUCGCAUCGGGAGCGCGGCGCGUCCACAGCCGUUAAACACCCAACUUCUGAAAUGUUGACCUCGGAUCAGGUAGGAAUACCCGCUGAACUUA
rnacentral:rRNA from 1 species